rnacentral:rRNA from 1 species
UACGUAGGGUGCAAGCGUUGUCCGGAAUUAUUGGGCGUAAAGAGCUCGUAGGCGGUUUGUCGCGUCUGCUGUGAAAACUCGGGGCUUAACUCCGGGCCUGCAGUGGGUACGGGCAGACUAGAGUGCGGUAGGGGAGACUGGAAUUCCUGGUGUAGCGGUGAAAUGCGUAGAUAUCGAGAGGAACACCUGCGGCGAAGGCGGGUUGCUGGGCUGACACUGACGCUGAUGCGCGAAAGCCAGGGGAGCGAACGGG